rnacentral:misc_RNA from 1 species
UAUCUGCAAAGAGCUCCCUUUCUUUCAUUCAAAAACAUUACAGGAGUGAAGAAGAAUAACUUGACGAAAAACAAAAAGACGACACAACACCCUGGGGAGAGAACUACAUUUGUAAACCAUUGCUAGGAUAUUCUCUAAUUCUUCUUUUGGUCUAUACAAACAAGACUCUUUAGUUACCUGAUACCGCUACAAUUUGCUCAUGGACUACACAUCACUAUCUCCAUGAUGACUCAAGUCUGAUGGGGUUGAAGAUGAUGAUGCGACUGUCUUGCCUUUGCUUUCUGAUGAUGGUGUUGGAUCCGUAUGCACACUUUCCUUAGCUUUUGGCUGAUGUAGAAGUUGGAGCUGCCUUUGCAGGACCUCAAUCUGCUGUUGGAGAAACUUUUUCUGAGCUUCCAACUGGGAGUUUGGGAUACUGCCCAACAUAUCUCCAUAAUUUGCAUUGGCACCAGGU